ensembl:lncRNA
UUCAGUAACAAGCGAUAGACUACUUGGCAGGUGUCCACGUCCUUCAGUAACAAGCGAUAGACUACUUGGCAGGUGUCCACGUCCUUCAGUAACAAGCGAUAGACUACUUGGCAGGUGUCCACGUCCUUCAGUAAUUCUGAUAAUACAGUCCGUUCAGAAAGCAUUCAGACCCCUCCCCCUUUUCCACAUUUUGUUAUGUUAUUCUAAAAUGGAUUAAAUAAAAUAAAAAUAAAAGUCCAUUUACACACAAUACCCCAUAAUGACAUCACAAUACCCCAUAAUGACAUCACAAUACCCCAUAAUGACAUCACAAUACCCCAUAAUGACAAAGCAAAAACAGGUUAAGACAUUUUUGCUAACGUAUAAAACAAACCGAAGUAUCUUAUUUACAUACGUUUUCAGACCCUUUGCUAUGAGACUCAAUUGAGCUCCGGUGCAUCCUGUUCUCCAUUGAUCAUCCUUGAGAUGUUUCUACAAUUUGAAUGGAGUCCACCUGUGGUAAAUUCAAUGGAUUGGACAUGAUUUGGAAAGGCACACACCUGUCUAUAUAAGGUCCCACAGUUGACAGUGCAUGUCAGAGCAAAAACCAAGCCAUGAGGUCGAAGAAAUUGUCCGUAGAGCUCCGAGACAGGAUUAUGUCAAGGCACAGAUCCUGGGGAAGGGUACCAAAAUAUUUCUGUAGCAUUGAAGGUCCCCAAGAACAAAAUGGCCUCCAUUCUUAAAUGGAAGGAGUUUGGAACCACCAAGACUUCCUAGAGCUGGCCGCCUGGACAAACUAAGCAAUAGAGGGAGAAGAGUUCCAGAGUUCCUCUAUGGAGAUAGAUACAGGGGGUACCAGUACAGAGUCAAUAUGGAGGUUAUAUACAGGGUAUUACGGUACAGAGUCAAUAUGGAGGUUAUAUACAGGGUAUUACGAUACAGAGUCAAUAUGGAGACUAUAUACAGGGGGUACCGGUACAGAGUCAAUGUGUGGGGGCAUCGUUUAGGUGAGGUAAUAUGUACAUGUAGGUAGAUGUGCAAGGUUAACCCGCCGUACCUGUAGCUGGGUUAACCCGGAGCGCCUGGUAGCUGGGUUAACCCGGAGCGCCUGGUAGCUGGGUUAACCCGGAGCGCCUGGUAGCUGGGUUAACCCGGAGCGCCUGGUAGCUGGCCUUGCUCCACACUUGGUCAGUGAGUAGUGGAGCUGAGAGGGACUGAUCAACUCCAUCCCUAGACCACAUCAGUCAGUCUACUGUUAUCUUCUUUAGGGCUAGGCUCGACAAUAUCCGCUGAAAAGGCAGAGCGCGAAAUUCAAAAAUAUUUUUUGGAAAUAUUUCACUUGCAUACAUUCACAAGUGCAAUACACCAAAUAAAAUCUUAACUUCUUGUUAAUCUACCCAUCGUGUCUGAUUUUGAAAAAGGCUUUACAGUGAAAGCACACCAUGUGAUUGUUAGGUCACAAAAAAAACACAGCCAUUUUUCCAGCCAAAGAGAGGAGUCACAAAAAGCAGAAAUAGAGAAAAUUCUCUCCCACCUCACAGUAGAAGCCUGAAACAAGGUUCUAAAGACUGUUGACAUCUAGUGGAAGCCUUAGGCAGUUUACUCUGGGCUUUUCAUCUGAAAGUGAAAAUGCUGCCCCCUAUCCCAAACAGGUUUUCCUGCCUGUCCUGGCUGUCCCCACUAAAUCCCUAAUGGCCUGGCUGUCCUGACUGUCCCCACUUUCCACUAAUGCCCUGGCCUGCCUGGCCUGUCUGUCCCCACUAAAUCCCUAAUGGCCUGGCUGUCCCGACUGUCCCCACUUUCCACUAAUGCCCUGGCCUGUCUGUCCCCACUAAAUCCCUAAUGGCCUGGCUGUCCUGUCUGUCCCCACUUUCCACUAAUGCCCUGGCCUGCCUAUCCUGUCUGUCCCCACUAAAGCCCGAAUGGCCUGGCUGUCCUGACUGUCCCCACUUUCCACUAAUGCCCUGGCCUGCCUGGCCUGUCUGUCCCCACUAAAGCCCUAAUGCCUUGGCCUGGCUGUCCUGUCUGUCCCCACUAAAGCCCUAAUGCCUUGGCCUGGCUGUCCUGUCUGUCCCCACUAAAGCCCUAAUGGCCUGGCUGUCCUGACUGUCCCCACUUUCCACUAAUGCCCUGGCCUGCCUAUCCUGUCUGUCCCCACUAAUGCCCUGGCAUGUCUGUCCCCACUAAAGCCCUAAUGCCCUGGCAUGUCUGUCCCCACUAAAGCCCUAAUGCCCUGGCCUGGCUGUCCCCAUUAAAUCCCUAAUGCCCAAGCCUGCCUGUCCCCAUUAAAUCCCUAAUGCCCAAGCCUGCCUGUCCUGUCUGUCCCCACUUCCCACUAAUACCUUGGCCUGCCUGGCCUGUCUGUCCCCACUAAAGCCCUAAUGCCCUGGCCUGGCUGUCCUGUCUGUCCCCACUAAAGCCCUAAUGCCCAGGCCUGCCUGUCCCGUCUGUCCCCACUUCCCACUAAUACCCUGGCCACGUGCCACUCCUUUCCCCAUAGCAGCACAGGAAUGUGCAGAAGGGCUGAAUUGACCAGAGCAUGAUAAGAAUGUGGCCACUUUGCUCUCUCCAGUUAGGUUACGACUGUGGUCUGCUGUUUGUUCUGAGGGUUUAGUGUUGCUGAGCCUGGCUGGGGCUGCUGGUCCAUAACCCUGGACUAUCGUCACAGACACUACAUCUAUUUACACUGGAAUCUCUCCUGUUUGAUACGGAUAUGUUGGUGCUUUCAUUAUGACACCGUCGUUGUGGUUCUGGACUGGGCCUGUCAGUCUGGUUUCAUUAUGUUACCGGCCGUAUCGUUGUGGUUCUGGACUGGGCCUGUCAGUCUGGUUUCAUUAUGUUACCGGCCGUAUCGUUGUGGUUCUGGACUGGGCCUGUCAGUCUGGUUUCAUUAUGUCUCCCUGGCCAUAUCGUUGUGGUUCUGGACUGGGCCUGUCAGUCUGGUUUCAUUAUGUCACCGGCUGUAUCGUUGUGGGUCUGGACUGGGCCUGUCAGUCUGGUUUCAUUAUGUCUCCCUGGCCAUAUCGUUGUGGGUCUGGACUGGGCCUGUCAGUCUGGUUUCAGUGUCUAAGCUUGGUGGCUUGUUUGGAGCUAGUGGGCCCAACUAUGUUGUCCAUCGAUGUAUCUGGCUGCUGGAGUGUCCCUGCUCCUCAUUUAGAAGGGAUUUAUCUGAAGGUGGAGGAGGUCUGUGUUCGUCGAGGCCUGGACCUCGUCUCACGCUGCCAGAAACUAUAGAAGAUGACAUUAUUACUGAGAGGUCAUUGAGAGACUGGCCUCUGAGCUAUAGGCAUGACAUUCUGGUUGUGGGUGGUGAUUUCUCCCUGUUGUAUCUGAGGCUCAGUCAGGAGACAACCCUCCCUGUUGUAUCUGAGGCUCAGUCAGGAGACAACCCUCCCUGUUGUAUCUGAGGCUCAGUCAGGAGAC